GUUCUUGGGACUUGAUUUCUUGGGAAUGGUGCACCUUCUUCCUAUUUCAAGCAACUGCUUUACAGAACAAGGUGCACCUCAAUGAUUUGGAUGGGGGCACCACCAGUGUGUCUGGGGGGGCCUCCGGAUCUGCGGCCCUGUCUACACACGUUCAGUCAGAUCAAAGACCCCGCCGACCUUGCUGCCCACAAAGAGAAGAUGGUGGUACCAACGGCUGUUUCUACGAACCAACCCAUGUGCUGGAAUAACGUCCUCACAUCGCAUGCUGCGUGAUGUAACGGCAGCCACAUGGCACGCGAGGGGCCGUAAACUGUACAGCUCAAAAGACGCCGUAUAAAAUAAAUGAAAUCAAGACCACAGCAGAAGACGCUACCCACUGCACUGAGCAACACGAGUUUACUGUCGUCCGCAGCGGCUGUAUUCAGUGCACUUUGAACUUCCUUCAUUACCUGCAAUUUGGAAAGAAGGGAAAAUCAGAAUCCAAACACAGAUUUGGAAAUCGCCACACGGAGGCCCUCAGCUACAUUUCCCACAUUUCUCCGAAGAGCAGAAUCUCGGCUAACUGCAGAUUUGACUUCUGAGCAUUUGUGAGUUAUCUGUUCGUUUGAAAUCACUGCAAAGAAAAGGGAAUGCCAUUUGGUAAGCGGGGCAACAGUUUCUCCAGGCUCUCUCCGGACUUCCUGAAGAUCUUUGGCAGGCCCCUCCGAGAUUCAGCGCGAACAGGCAUUUUUGAGUUUGAACAGAAGGUGGCAGAUGCAACCAGUUCACAGAAGUGACUUCGAUUCCUUUCCACUUUUAACCGGCUAAAGCCGCCAAGCUCAAGGCCUGUGCUCUUUCCUCUGGCCACACUACUCUUCUGGAUCUGUCAACAAAGAAAAAAUUGAAGGAUGAAAGUGAUGGUACGGUGGAGUGUCCCGUCAAGGAAGACAGGUGAGCUCAGUCCUGGAGCUUCAA